rnacentral:lncRNA from 1 species
GAACCUCUUGUCCCAUACAGGGUCGCGGGGAACCAGAGCCUACCCGGCAACACAGGGCGUAAGGCCAGAGGGGGAGGGGACACACCCAGGACAGGACACCAGUCCAUCACAAGGCACCCCAAGCAGGACUCAAACCCCAGACCUACUGCAGAGCAGGACCCGGUCCAACCCACUGCACCACCACACCCCCCAUAUUUUACACACUUCUCUUGUUUUUCACUUGCAGUCAGUUGAGCAAGUUGACUUUCUCUCCAGUAAGACACACACCCACUGUCUGAAGCUACUUGUCCCAAGCAGGAUUGCAGCGAGCUGGAGCCUAACCCAGCAAUACAGCAUGCAAGGAUAGAGGGGGACACACCCAGGAUGGGAUGCCAGUCCAUUGCAAGGCACCCCCAGCAGGACUCAAACCCCAGACCCACCAGAGAGCAAGCCCCAGCCAAACCCACUGUGCCACUACACCACCUCUUCUCUCUGAUAAGCAGAAGACUCACUGUCCUGUCCCAUAGACUGUCCACAGUCUCCGAUGGAAAAAAACUGGAAAGGGGGGCUAUCAUCAUCGCUAUGCUUUUAUUGUCAUAUAGUUUUACAUUGCUGAAAUACAGUGUAACUGAGUGAAAAAAAAUUUUUGACCAACUUUACUAGACAUGGCAGCAAUAGUCUGUAAUGCUCAUACAGGAAUCCGUGCUGUGAAUGUUUUUCUGAAGCCAUCAUGUGGGGUGAGUAUGACACUCAUGCCCGUGAGCAAGUAUCCAUAUAAAUUAUUGAUUAAAGAGCCGGAUCAAAGACAGGUGUGCUGGUGGUGGUGUUGGUGGUGUGUGCGGUGACUUUUUUAGUAUUUCAGUUUUUUUUUUUUUUUUUUUUUUUUGAGAAAGCAGAAUUUAGUAACAAAAAUUUGUAAUUUCCUUACUCAGUCUUGAAAAUCGGAAAAUAGGAAGGGUUAGCAGCUACGCUGUCCCAACCGACGGGAGCAGUUCCCCAGCCAACUGCCAGGCGUUUUUGCACAAAAUAAUCCUGCACACCUGUAUUCAAUUGCACAAUCAGACCAGCCCUUAAAAGAGUGCGAUACAUUCUUUCACACCCUUUUUUUUUUUUUUUUUUUUUGAUGGGCCUGUCCCUGCUUUACCCCUUUCUGCCUCCACGUCCUCAGUUCACUGCAUCCCUAAGUCUCUGUGCCUCCUUGUACUCUUAAGUCCUCUGGUCACCAUGUCUCUAAGUGCCCAUGUUCUGUCAUACUCCCGUCUUCAGCUCCACCUUGCAUCAAAGCUUCUCCUCUUGCAGUUUUCCAAUUGUAAGUUCUGCACCAGUCUCCUGGUGAUCAUGAUACUGCCUUCAUUCAGCUUGCUUCCAC